AGUGGAUCAGACAGUCGCGGCGGCAAGGCGAAAGCCUGCCGAUGAGGAAAGUCCGGGCUCCACAGGGCAAGGAUAACGGGUAACGCCCGCCGAAGGCGACUUCAGGAAAAGUGCAACAGAGAUAUACCGCCUUGUAGCUCCUUAAAAUGGGGCCCCCGCAAAAACGUAGUUUUUGUGGGGAGAGGAGAUGCAGCGAAAUGAGUUUCUUCUGCCGCUUGCGGCGGAAGAAAGGAUAUGGAGCUUGCAUCGACGAGGUAAGGGUGGAAAGGUGAAGGUAAGAGCUCACCCGACGGCGUGGAAGCGUCCGUCGCUGUAAACUCUAUCCGGAGCAACACCGGUAUGGGGACAUUCGGCUGGCCCGGCCGUCCCCGGGGUGGCUUGAGCGUACCGGCAACGGUGCGCCUAGAUAGAUGACUGUCAAGACAGAACCCGGCUUACAGAUCGGCUCGU
rnacentral:RNase_P_RNA from 1 species